CGAGCAGGGAGAUUAGCACGCAGGGCAGCAGCAGGUUGCACACAUAUGCAGCGGCGCGGCGGCGGAGCAGCAGCGUGAAGGUCACAUCCGGAUAGGGCUCCGAGCAGCAGCCGUAGUUUCUCACUGAAACUAGGGCUGGACAAGAAUAGGAAACUGACCACAGACAAACUUCAAGAACGUCUAUUCGUGUGAGGAUUCCAACUGCUCCACAUCCAUGAUGACAACUGGUAUAGCAGGUUUCUUUGAUUUUCAGCCAUUCUAAGGUGGGUAGUGGUACCCCAUGAUGGCUUUAAUUUGCAUGUCCCUGUCCUCUAUUGAUGCUGAACAUCUUUCCAUGGCUUGACAUCCAGGUCUUUGGUAAAGAAUCUGUUUAAAUAUUCUGCUUAUUUUUUUAAAGAUGCAUUGUUUGCUUUCUUAUUAUUGAGUUCUGAGAGUUCUUUAUUAUGUUUUGGAUAUAAGUUCUUCACCAGAUAUAUGAAUUGCAAAUAUGUUCUCCCAAUCUGUCUUUCCAUUCUCUUAACAAGUUUUCAAUGAGCAAUUGUUUUAAAUUUUGCUUAAGUCCAAUUUACCAAUUUUUCUUUUUUUAUGGAUUGUGUUUGGUGUCUGAGAAAUCUUUGC